rnacentral:rRNA from 1 species
CUUACACAUGCAGUCGAGCGGUAGAAGUAGCUUGCUACUUUUGAGAGCGGCGGACGGCCGAUUAAUGCGUGGGAAUCUACCUGGUAGUGGGGGACAACAGUUGGAAACGACUGCUAAUACCGCAUACGCCCUACGGGGGAAAGCGGGGGAUCUUCGGACCUCGUGCUAUCAGAUGAGCCCGCGUGAGAUUAGCUAGUUGGUGGGGUAAAGGCCUACCAAGGCGACGAUCUCUAGCUGGUCUGAGAGGAUGAUCAGCCACACUGGGACUGAGACACGGCCCAAACUCCUACGGGAGGCAGCAGUGGGAAAUAUUGGACAAUGGGCGCAAGCCUGAUCCACCCAUUCCGCGUGUGUGAAGAAGGCCUUCGGGUUGAAAAGCAUUUUCCCCGAGGAGGAAAGGUUAAGUGUUAAUACCACUUUGCUUGUGACUUUACCUCGCAAAAAAAGAACCGGUUUAAUUUCUGUGCCACCACCCGCGGUAAUUACGGAGGGGGCAAGCCUU